AGGCAGCAGCAGGGAAUUUUGCACAAUGGGCGCAAGCCUGAUGCAGCGACGCCGCGUGGGGGAUGAAUGCCUUCGGGUUGUAAACCCCUUUCAGGAGGGACGAAGCGAAAGUGACGGUACCUCCAGAAGAAGCCCCGGCCAACUACGUGCCAGCAGCCGCGGUAAUACGUAGGGGGCGAGCGUUGUCCGGAUUUAUUGGGCGUAAAGAGCUCGUAGGCGGCUCAACAAGUCGGCCGUGAAAGCCUGAGGCUCAACCUCAGGACGCCGGUCGAAACUGUUGUGGCUAGGGUUCGGUAGAGGAGAGUGGAAUUCCCGGUGUAGCGGUGAAAUGCGCAGAUAUCGGGAGGAACACCAGUAGCGAAGGCGGCUCUCUGGGCCGACACCGACGCUGAAGAGCGAAAGCUAGGGGAGCAAACAGGAUUAGAUACCCUGGUAGUCCUAGCCGUAAACGUUGGGUACUAGGUGUGGCGGAUUCAUUGACAUCUGCCGUGCCGAAGCUAACGCAUUAAGUACCCCGCCUGGGGAGUACGGUCGCAAGGCUAAAACUCAAAUGAAUUGACGG
rnacentral:rRNA from 1 species